UACGGGGGGGCGAAGCGUUGUUCGGAAUUACUGGGCGUAAAGGGCUCGUAGGCGGCCAACGUAAGUCGGAAUGUGGAAAUCCCCAGGCUCAACCUGGGAACUGCAUCCGAUACUGUCGGACUAGAGUCCGGAAGAGGCAAGUGGAAUUCCCGGUGUAGCGGUGAAAUGCGCAGAUAUCGGGAGGAACACCAAUGGCGAAGGCAGCUUGCUGGGACGGUACUGACGCUGAGGCGCGAAAGCGGUGGGGAGCAAACAGG
rnacentral:rRNA from 1 species